rnacentral:rRNA from 1 species
GACGAACGCUGGCGGCGUGCUUAACACAUGCAAGUCGAACGGUGAAGCGCCUUCCUUUUUGGUGGGUGUGGAUGAGUGGCGAACGGGUGAGUAACACGUGAGUAACCUGCCCCCUUCUUCUGGAUAACCGCAUGAAAGUGUGGCUAAUACGGGAUAUUCUGGGUCUGUCGCAUGAUGGGUCUGGGAAAGUUAUUGUUUCGGUGGGGGAUGGGCUCGCGGCCUAUCAGCUUGUUGGUGGGGUGAUGGCCUACCAAGGCGGUGACGGGUAGCCGGCAUGAGAGGGUGGACGGUCACACUGGGACGGAGACACGGCCCAGACUCCUACGGGAGGCAGCAGUGGGGAAUAGUGCACAAUGGGCGCAAGCCUGAUGCAGCGACGCCGCGUGAGGGAUGGAGGCCUUCGGGUUGUGAACUUCUUUCGCCAGUGAAGCAGGCCUGCCUCGUUUGUGGGUGGGUUGACGGUAGCUGGAGAAGAAGCGCCGGCUAACUACGUG